rnacentral:rRNA from 1 species
GGGUUGUGAGGUUAAGCGACUAAGCGUACACGGUGGAUGCCCUGGCAGUCAGAGGCGAUGAAGGACGUGCUAAUCUGCGAUAAGCGCCGGUAAGGUGAUAUGAACCGUUAUAACCGGCGAUUUCCGAAUGGGGAAACCCAGUGUGAUUCGUCACACUAUCAUUAACUGAAUCCAUAGGUUAAUGAGGCGAACCGGGGGAACUGAAACAUCUAAGUACCCCGAGGAAAAGAAAUCAACCGAGAUUCCCCCAGUAGCGGCGAGCGAACGGGGAGGAGCCCAGAGCCUGAAUCAGCAUGUGUGUUAGUGGAAGCGUCUGGAAAGGCGCGCGAUACAGGGUGACAGCCCCGUACACAAAAGCGCAUGUGCUGUGAGCUCGAUGAGUAGGGCGGGACACGUGGUAUCCUGUCUGAAUAUGGGGGGACCAUCCUCCAAGGCUAAAUACUCCUGACUGACCGAUAGUGAACCAGUACCGUGAGGGAAAGGCGAAAAGAACCCCGGCGAGGGGAGUGAAAAAGAACCUGAAACCGUGUACGUACAAGCAGUGGGAGCACAGGUUUACCUGUGUGACUGCGUACCUU